rnacentral:piRNA from 1 species
UGAGGUGUUUGCAAGUAGAUGGAGCUC